GAGAGAGAGGGAAGGAGAGAAAGGGAGGGAGAGAAAGGGAGAGAGAGAAAGAAGAAGAAAGAAAAAUAGUCUUCUCGGUUCCCGCCGCGUCUGGCAGGAUUCGAAAUUCUUACGUGGUUCGCGUCCACGUUGAACGAAGAAAAGGUCGAGGGUGGUUUCGAAUUCGCCGCGAUUAGGGUGCGACGUGGACGCGAGACCUGUCUUUCAAAGUUCCCUCCUCGAACGCCGGAAGGUCGCCGGUCGAUCGUCUCGCGGCCCGAACAACCCCUGCUCCAGCAAACCCCCCGCGACAUUUGUCCCUCCUGUGCCACCCACCCCCAAAACCCCCUAAAAACCUCAGAAAGAAAAAUUUAAACACGCCAAUUUAAUAAUACCCCCCAGCCUCCUAAAAAGAAGAAGAAGAAAAAAAAACGAAUUCCAAUCCUUAUCCGCUCGAGAAUGAAGAGCACAAUGGAAAGAAGAAAAAGGAAAACCGAAGUUAAGAGUGGGAAUCAUCCGUGAGAAAGAGAAGGGGAGAGAGAGAGGAGAGAGAGAGAGAGAGAGAGAGAGAGUACGUUUCCUUUCUCGCGUCAGAGAAGAAAAACACUUCCUGCAUGUGCGAAGCAAGAAAGAAAAUCUUAAGGGAUGAAAGCGACGACGCGAGUGGACGGGUCAUCCGAAAUUAUUCUAAGGACUCUCGUCUUCGGGCGGGAACGCAGGUGGAUUAACGAGGACGACAGCGGUUAACGAUGACGAUAGCGGUGCUCGAGGAGAAGAAGAGAGAGAAAGAGAGAGAGAGAGAGAGAGUGAGAAGAAUGAGGAAAAGAGGAGAAAAAAAAAAUGUGAACGAGGUGGAAUGUAGAGAGAUUGAUAGCUAACGAAAGAACGAUGUAGACGAAGGCGCAUCGCUGUCGUGUUUUUGUAAAAAAUUUUGAACACAAAGAAUGUCGAAUGCGAGAGUGAGAGCGAGAAAGAGAGAGAAAAAGAGAGAGAGAGAAUUCGAGCAAUUGACAAAAGAGCGAAAUUGAGGUGUGCGUGAGAACUAGAGAAGAAAAAGCGAGGACGAGAGUGAUGAGAGAAUGCGAAAAUGAAAACGGUAGAAAGAGAGAAAGAAAAAAACGGUGGUAAAGUAAUAUUUAAAUAUUCGUAUCAAAAAGAAAAAAAAAAAAUGUGUAGGGCCUCGAAAACACUAGCGACCGAAUGGGACAAGGGAGACAAGAAAAGUUGUGAAAUGAAAGAAGAAGGGGGAAAAAAAAAAAUGAAACUAACUUAGCAAAAGGCGAGAAAUAGAGUGGGGCCGAACUACUAAAAAAUAUUUAUAAUAUAUGGCUACAAGUACAAAUUACUUCGACUACUGAGCGUAGGUGUAUUGAUGUGUGAACAAAAUUUGGUUGGCCGAUGACCGUUUUUGAAACCAUCAUACUGCGUAUCAAAGUAUGUAAAAUUUAUUGAAUAAACGCUAGCGUAUUAUGAUAUAAUGUAAUCUAAUAAUGUAAUAUUGUAAUGACGAGUCUAAAUGAUGAUGUUAACUUGAAGUUUAGGGAGCGCGCGUGAGAGAUUGUGCACGUGGAUGAUUUAAAGAGAAUAAAAAAAAAAAAAAAAAAAGAAGAAACAAAGAGAAUAAGAGAGGACAAAAAAGAGAUUAUUGUGCAUACGAAAACAUAAAGAAAAAAAAAGAAGAGAGAGAAAAUGAUGAAAAAAAGAAUGACAAAUUGCAUCUUUAUAACGAUUAUCAUUACGAUUACUAUUAUUAUUAUUGCGAUUUACGAUUGUCAGUCACCCGUCACUUGUCAUUAUUGCGAGGUAAAAAGAAAAAAAAAAAAGAAAAAGCGAAAAGGAAACAAAAAUGUAAACCGUUCCCCGAUCAAAACGGGAAACGGGUCUAUUCGUCCUUCCCUUAGUAACGUUCGUUUCUUAUCAUUGAUCUAUCCGUGAAGAAAGAUUGAAAAAAGAGAAAGAAAUAAUAAGAAAAUCAAGAGGCAAACGA